UACUUUUAAAAUAAGUCAAAACUUUCAACAACGGAUCUCUUGGUUCUGGCAUCGAUGAAGAACGCAGCGAAAUGCGAUAAGUAAUGUGAAUUGCAGAAUUCAGUGAAUCAUCGAAUCUUUGAACGCACAUUGCGCCCAUUAGUACUCUAGUGGGCAUGCCUGUUCGAGCGUCAUUACGACCCUUAAGCCUAGCUUAGUAUUGGGAACCUACGUGCGGCAGCUACCCUGUAGCUACCCUGUAGCUCCUUAAAGACAACGGCGGAGACGUGGAGUCCUCUGAGCUUAGUAAACUUUUUCUAGCUUCUGAAGGCGCCGCGGCCCCUGCCGUAAAACCCCCCAACUCUUUAGUGGUUGACCUCGGAUCAGGUAGGAAUACCCGCUGAACUUAAGCAUAUCAAUAAGCGGAGGAAAAGAAACCAACAGGGAUUGCCUUAGUAACGGCGAGUGAAGCGGCAACAGCUCAAAUUUGAAAGCUGGCCUUCGGGUCCGCGUUGUAAUUUGUAGAGGAUGCUUUUGGUUAGGUGCCUUACGAGUUCCCUGGAACGGGACGCCUUAGAGGGUGAGAGCCCCGUACGUUUGGUUACCGAGCCUCUGUAAAGCUCCUUCGACGAGUCGAGUAGUUUGGGAAUGCUGCUCUAAAUGGGAGGUAAAUUUCUUCUAAAGCUAAAUACCGGCCAGAGACCGAUAGCGCACAAGUAGAGUGAUCGAAAGAUGAAAAGCACUUUGAAAAGAGGGUUAAAUAGCACGUGAAAUUGUUGAAAGGGAAGCGUUUAUGACCAGACUUUUUCCUGGCGGAUCAUCCGGUGUUCUCACCGGUGCACUUCGCCA
rnacentral:rRNA from 1 species